rnacentral:lncRNA from 1 species
CCACCACUCUCUUGGGCAUUUAACCGAACACUUGAUGCAAAAACAGCUCUUUCCCAUAAAUUCAAUACCGAAUUAUUCCCAACUGAAACAGCCUUUCUGGGGUUGAAAUUACUACCAUUUAGGAUCUGUUUAAGUGCUGUACUGAUCCCAUGCCAUUUACUUAAAACAGCAAAUAUCUGAUGAGAACUUAUAGUUCCAAGCUUAAUACCCUUGCGGGUCAUUGAUUCAAGACAGGUUUCAAGUUGCGUUGUAAGAAAAGGCAACGAAGGCGGUGAACAGUUGGACCAAGAACCCCAUGGAAAUGAUUGUCCAUGAAUUGGGUGAUGAUCUUUCACAGAUUCAGCAAAGUCUAUGUAGCCUGUGAUAUGAGGGCCACUGUUCCAUUUACCCAUGAGACCUGCCAAACACAAUUGUUAGAAGGAAGGCAGCCCGAGCCGGGUCCAGGGAAGGGCCGGACCACAAGGGUCUAUUGUACGCAACCUUACCUUGCAUUUAUGCAAGAGGCUGUUUCCACGGCUUGAACCCGUCACCUCCUGAUUGUAUCAAUACCAAAUCCAUGUCUAACUUAGACCUAUUACUUACGUUCGAGAAUGAGGGUGGUUUUGCCGACGCCACGAGGGCCGUGAAGGAUAAGGGGUUGAGGUACACGGUGGUGUUGAGCAUGGUUGUUGAGGACAGUUUCAAGAAGGGACCUUGGGAUUAUUCUCCAUGCCUUGUUCACCAUUGAGUUUUUUCAGGGAGCAUCAAGACUAACUAGCAAAAGUAAAACACACAAAAUUCUCACUUGAGCAAAAGAAUCAUUGAAGACCACAUCAAAAAGCUCCAAAAUUACCCCCAAAUCAAGCCAAGAUGCUAGAAAAGAUCGAUAUACUGUUGUUGAUGCUAAUGAACCGAAGUUUGAUGAACCCAAAGAGAGCCCGAAUGUUGAUCUGUGAAUUUAGAUAGAGGAUGAUGAUCCAAAUUGUUAAUGUAAAGAUUUUUGAAGACUUUGGUUGUGUUUGAUGAUUUUAUGCAGAAUUAAGCAGUAAAAUUGGAAUUGAUCUGUUAUCUGUGUAAUCACCUUUAUUUGUAAAUAAAAUUGCAUUUUUUAAAAAAAAAAACUAGCAACAGUAAAGCAGUGUUCUCCCAUCAUACACCAAGUAAAAUGAAUCACCCUGGUAUGCUCUUGUUUAGGGAGGAGGAUAAAAAGUAUUUUAAGUAUACCUGGGCUUGGACCUCAAAUUCAUGGUCUGCAAGCUAGAGUUGGCCAUAAAUUUCAAAAUAUUUUUGGAAAAUUAGAUUUGGAUAGAGUUUGAAUGAUGUUUCAAUAUGUAUUUAGCUAUAGCUUUUGGAAAACAUAUUUUACUCUUUUUCGGAAAAAACACAAAACAUGAUUUAUAUCCAUAAGCUUUAAAAAUUAUUAAAAAUUUAAGUUUGACACAAAAUAAUCAUUUUUAUAAUGAACUAAAUAAUGCAUUAUCCAAAAAUUUCAGCAUGUCCAGCCGAAUCGUGGUUAAUUUCCAGCGUUAUUGAAAAUCAUGUUUAUAAAAGUUAUGGCUAGAAGUUAAAAAUGUGGAGCAUGUUCAUUUAGUUAAUGCUCAUUGGCAGAAUCACAUUUAGGAUAUAUUUUUUUCAUCAUAUUUGGCAUGUCUGCUUCCGGUUGGAUAACCCAUCCAUAGGAGAUUAUUCAUGUUAUCUAGAUUGGUCGAAGUUGAGUAUCCUCAUACAGCUAGAAACAAUGCAUAUAGACAUUAAUUUGCAUUGAAGCAUGCCCUCAUAAAUUAACAGUGUUUGAUAUUAUGUCCAUAGGAAAUGAUGGUUUCAUGGCAUCGCCAGCUUAAGUAUCAUUCAUCAAAAGAUAUCAUGCCUAUAGGAUUUAAUUUAUCACCUAGCGGCUUUAAUUAAUCAAGAGGCUUGCUUACUUGAAAACCAUUGUGUGAUACUUGUCCCACAGUCCUAUUUAUUCUGUUUGACCUAAUCCUGAGUCUAAUUAAGCAACCUAAGAUUUCUCUGUGUCUAGACGCACAUCAAAAAUAGUAAGUCCAAUGCCUCUUGGACCCUAAGUUGGAACGGGUAGGCAUUUUAGGAGUGUUAGUUUUAUCAUUUUUUAAGUGAGAUUCUAGGUCUAAUCAAAGGCGCGCGUAAGCCCGAGAAUGAGGCUCAAAACGUGUUGAGCGCUUUGCCUCGCUUUAUGUGCGCUUCACUAUCAUCAUCAAGGUUUUAAGACAUACUUCUCCUUGCCAAUGAGUCUCUUCCGAAAAGGCACCACUAAACAAUUGAUGCUCCACUCUAUCAUAAUUGUUUCUCAAUUUCUUUGUUCAGAUAUUUGUCAUCCAUGCUUAUAAUUAUUAGUCUUGGACUAAACAUAAAUAUUUAUUUUUUCUCCCUUUGUGCCUUUUUAAUUGAAGUCCACGCUUCUAUUUGCGCUUUAAGCCCCAACAGACCUUACAACUUUUUUGUGCUUUUCGCUUUUGAUAACACUGGUUUAAUAAAAAAAACUAAUAACCAAACUUAGGCAGGUAGUAGGAGAUGAUAGUUUGUGCCUGCUGAAUAAUAUAAGCAAUCCUUAAUCCGGUUGCAAAGUAUUAUUUUAGUUAAACGGGGUGAUCCCAUUAGGAAAACCCCCUCCCCCCAAAAAUUUUUCCUUCUACAUAGGGAGUGAUCUAGAUGAUACACUUAUAGCUCGAUGGUCAUUGCACUUUGUCUAAGAAGUCUUUUUAAAGACUUUGCACGAGGUUGAGCAAUUACUCCUCAAUGUACGGACUUUUCAGUUAAAGUAGUUGCCAAGUGAGAGCAUAAAUCAAUAGGGAUCUCAUCUAGACAAUCGAAUCCAUUUUAUCACGAAUUAGUCAAUGUUAACCAAAUAUAUCCACGUUGGAGGCUGUAAUAAUCAAACUUGAGCAAGAAAGAAGGCAAAUUAGGCAAAAUUACCAUAUCAUCAUAUGAAUCAAGGCUACUUUAUAACUCUAGAUGAUCAUGGAAAUCAAGAUAGACUCUGGUAAAAUGAGUUUUCGAAACAAGUCACGAUAAGAUUUCAAAUUUUGACGCAUGUAAUCAAAUACAACGAGCAUGAGUAUAGAAUCAAACCGGGACCUAAGCGAAACUGGGGCUGUAACAUAGGACAAGUAUUAAUCAGAACUUAAUCAUUAAACCCACACCAAUACCCAAAUCUCAAAAUCAGCUAAGAAAAGAAAUCAAUUGAGUUUGAGUAUGAAAAAAAGAACACGCAGAACAUACCGGAGACGAAUUCAGAUUCUUUUCGGAUGCAUACCGUGGAGGCUGACGGGUGAACUUACCUAGUCUUCCAACAUAUUCAAACCCUUUGGGAUUUGGAGUUUUAAGUAGGAAACGGGGAGUGGAGAGGGGGGAGGAGAGUAUAUGGGACGCGGUGG